AUUGAACGCUGGCGGCAUGCCUUACACAUGCAAGUCGAACGGCAGCACGGGUGCUUGCACCUGGUGGCGAGUGGCGAACGGGUGAGUAAUAUAUCGGAACGUACCCUAGAGUGGGGGAUAACGCAGCGAAAGUUGCGCUAAUACCGCAUACGAUCUACGGAUGAAAGUGGGGGAUCGCAAGACCUCAUGCUCAUGGAGCGGCCGAUAUCUGAUUAGCUAGUUGGUGGGGUAAAAGCCUACCAAGGCAUCGAUCAGUAGCUGGUCUGAGAGGACGACCAGCCACACUGGAACUGAGACACGGUCCAGACUCCUACGGGAGGCAGCAGUGGGGAAUUUUGGACAAUGGGCGCAAGCCUGAUCCAGCAAUGCCGCGUGAGUGAAGAAGGCCUUCGGGUUGUAAAGCUCUUUUGUCAGGGAAGAAACGGUGAGGGCUAAUAUCCUUUGCUAAUGACGGUACCUGAAGAAUAAGCACCGGCUAACUACGUGCCAGCAGCCGCGGUAAUACGUAGGGUGCAAGCGUUAAUCGGAAUUACUGGGCGUAAAGCGUGCGCAGGCGGUUAUGUAAGUCAGAUGUGAAAUCCCCGGGCUCAACCUGGGAAUGGCAUUUGAGACUGCAUGGCUAGAGUGUGUCAGAGGGGGGUAGAAUUCCACGUGUAGCAGUGAAAUGCGUAGAGAUGUGGAGGAAUACCGAUGGCGAAGGCAGCCCCCUGGGAUAACACUGACGCUCAUGCACGAAAGCGUGGGGAGCAAACAGG
rnacentral:rRNA from 1 species